ACCUACCCAACGUUUGGCUCAAAGGCAAAGCUAGCCAAGUAGCGUCAGUAGAUGGUCAGUCGCCAGGAGGCUAACAACUGCGUGGUGCAGGGGCACAUCCAGACCGAGCAAUGGGGACAUCCAGACAUGUGCUCUGGACUUCCAGCUUUGAAAGAGAAGAUGGAAGAGGCCAACCCCACUCCAGAUUGCUGAAGAAAAAGACUAGGAAGAUAGGAGAGGAGCUGGCAGUCUCAAUCAUGUUCCUAUUCCCAACUUGCUACUCUAAAGACUUUAGGGAAUUUCCUGUUGGAUGAAAUCUAGGACUCUGCUUCUCUGUGUCUCUGUCCCUGCCUCUGCCUCUGUCUGUCUGUCUGUCUGUCUGUCUGUCUCUCUCAGUUGAGCUGAGUUGCCUUACACCCAAAAGAUGAGCUGUAUUAUAUGGCACAUAUUCUCUCAUAUAUGUUCUCUUAUUUCUGUUUUGCCAUGAUUUAGAUGAAUGGACUUCUUUGCUAUUCACUAUGUGUGUUCAUUGUUAUUUAGGUAUUAGGUAGGAAAGAAAUCAAGUGUUGGAUAUAGAACUUGGGGUCCCUCUUCCCCUAGAAAUAACAAAAGUGAUCAAAAGUUAAAUGAAAUCCAACCAUAUCCUCUGGACUCACAAUAUUUAAGGAACAGAUAGAUAUAGUUCUAGUGAAGGAGCCCUUUCUCUCAGGAGACCAGACUAGUAGUCUCUGGUGCCAUCCUCCCCAAAGUUUCCUUUGGAGAAGGGUUGGGGGACAAGAGGCUAAAGAUGCUUAUUCUGUCUCAGAGCCACACAAAGACAGUGUUCCUCACCAUAUGUGACCCUCUCUAUAUGAGGGAUCACCAUUCUUCCAAAAGGUAACAAUCCAUGUCCUCAGGAAAUUUACAUUCAACUGGGAGAAAGCAAUGUAGACUCAACAGAGUGAAUUUAGUAGAGAUAUACAGUAACUUUUUUAGAUGGUGGCACUAAGAAAUGGGGUUUCUUGUGUAGGAGGAGACUUUGAAGAGCUUUUCAUGACAGAGAGCAGGAUUUGUAUUUGAUCCCCUGAGGCAGGAGAGAGUCUCCAAAGUGUCUUGAAUAGAAAAAUGAUAACAUCAUAAAUAAGGGGCAGCUAGGUGGAUAGAGAGCAAGGCCUAGACAGGAAGAUCUGGCUUCAAAUUUGGCCUCAGACACUUCCUAGCUAUGUGACCCUUGGCAAGUCCCUAAACCCUAACUGCUUAGCCCUUGACAACCUGAUUUUAGGAAACUCAGAAUUGAUUUUCCUCUCCAACAGCCAGUCUUCUAAGAAAUCCUUUACUGACCCUUUGUCUCAGAGUGAACCAUAAACCCUCAAGUACCUCUGGAUUAUUUUAGAUUAGGUUAUAAAAUUUAAUUCAGUCUUUGUAACUCUUUUUUUUUUUUAACAUUGUAUUUACUUUAAACCAAGAGUUUCAACCCCUGUCUAGAAUCCUCCUUCCUUAGUCUCUAUGUAGCCAAUCAGUUUUUCUUUCUUUCUUAUACUCCCUAAAGCAGUGAAGGUGAACCUAUGGCACAGGUGCCAAAGCUCUCUAUAUGGCACAUAGAGCUCUCUCUGAGGGAACACAGACUCUCUCUCUGGCCCCACCCCCAGGGUUUGUUACUAAAAAGGCAGAGGGACUCAGGUGGAGGUGCUCCCCUCCCCUUCUCUAUUGGGCCUGAUGACAUUUUUUCACAUCCCCUGCCCCUCUGCCCAGCAGCCCAAUGGGAGCACAAGGGGGUAAGGUGGAUAGGCAUAGGCAGCACAGCUGAUGGGGAGCAGAUUGCUCAGGCCCCUCCCCUCCUCCUCUCUACACUGAGGACAUUUCUGACUUCAUCCACUCCUAUGCCCUGCAACCUAAUGGGAGUACUUCCUCCCUCCUCUGUGUGGGUAAGGGGGUAGGCAAAGUUUGCCCAGCACUGGAGGGUGGGGUAUGGCACUGGGCCUGGGGUGGGGGUGGGGGCAGGGCCCAACAUUCCAUCUCUAAAAGGUUCACCAUCACUGCCCUAAAGUGUAUCUAAGACCCCAAGCUCUUAACUUUUUUUUUAAACCCUUACCUUCGGUCUUGGAGUCAAUACUGUGUAUUGGCUCCAAGGCAGAAGAGUGGUGAGGGCUAGGCAAUGGGGGUCAAGUGACUUGCCCAGGGUCACACAGCUGGGAAGUAUCUGAGGCUAGAUUUGAACCUAGGACCUCCCAUCUUUAGGCCUGACUCUCAAUCCACUAAGCUACCCAGCUGCCCCCUCCAAGCUCUUAACUUUGAUGAAAAAUUCCCAUUUGUGGUACAUUUUCCUGGAGAUAUUUUCCUCAGAGUCUCAGAGUCCAGAUUGGUGUGGUGGUGUUAUGUAUGUGCAUGACUCUAUAUGUUGGCCAUAAGACCACUGUCUUCCUUUUCCUGAUUAAAGACGUGUUCUUUUUAA